UUAUUUCCUCUCUUAUUCGGUGAAUUUAAUCGUCCGGUUUCUUUUAAUGGUAAUAAGUGUAAAAUCAGACAUACUGCUAAUGUUUUGAUUGAGUUGUCUUUUAGAUCAAAUUGUAGAAAUGUCGGACAAUGAUGAAACCACCAUUGUCGAGAAUCAGGUCGUUGAUCGAGAGCUUUCUGAUGACGACGAACCAACUCAGCUAAUUGAUUCCCAAGGGGACAUGCCAACACAGAUGAAUGUGGACGACAUGCCAACACAGAUAAAUACCGAUGACAUGCCAACACAGAUGAAUACGGAUGAUUUACCAACUCAGAUCGAUAUGGAUGACAUGCCCACUCAGAUAAAUAUGGACCACAACUCAACUGAAAUGGAUUUGGAUGAUGAACCAACCCAGAAAGUCGUGGAUGAACCAACAAUCAUAGAUGACAUGCCAACUCAGUUGUACGCGAAUGAUUCCCUGAAUGAAGAUGACCAGCCGACACAGCUAAAUAAGUCCCCUGAUACAAGUAUUGAUGAUGAGGAGGGCCGUGAGAGAUCUAAGUCCCCUGAGUUUGGAACCAAGUCACGAUCAGCCUCUCGAAGUAGAUCUAGAUCUAAGUCAGUGGAAAGGUCUGGAUCUGCAGAGAUGCAAUCUCCGGAAAAUGAAGAGGAAGGACGAGAUAAAUCUAAUUCUAGAUCCAAGUCCGGAUCAAGAUCCAAGUCCGGAUCAAGAUCCAAGUCAGGAUCAAGAUCCAAGUCCGCAUCAAGAUCCAAGUCCAGAUCUAGAUCCAAGUCCAAAUCUAAAUCCAAGUCCAGAUCUAGAUCCAAAUCCAGGUCAGGAUCUAGGUCUGUAUCCCGAGAUAGAUCAAGAUCAGGGUCGGCUAAAAGAUCUAAAUCAGGAUCAAGAUCCGUUUCCCGGAGUAAGUCGAGGAGUAGAUCGAAAUCAGGAAGUAGAUCAAAAUCAAGAUCAAUCAGCAGAUCGAUGUCGAGGAGCAAGUCAAGAUCAGGAAGCAAGUCCGGAUCCAAGUCUCGAUCUGUCAGCAGAUCCAAGUCUAGAUCAGGAAGUAGAUCAAAGUCUAGAUCAAGAUCCAAAUCCGUUUCCAGAUCAAGAUCACGAAGUGGAUCUAGAUCAGACAGUGACGUAGAGUCGAAGAAGAAGAAGAUUGUGCGCGAAGCUCUUGGAGAUUCUGAUGAUGAGGGUGCAGAAGGUCAAGGAAAGGAGGCCGCUCUUCCAAACCUCUCCGAUAGCGAGGAUGAAGGGAAGAAGGAGGACAAACCAGUUGAAACUGAAAGGAAAGCAGAUGAUUCAAGCGAUGAUGAUGGACCAACAAGGAAUGGCGACGAAGGAUUGUCUGGAGGUCGACUAAUGUCAGAUUUCGACAUGAUGCUGGAGAAGAAACGAGCUGACAUGAAGAAACGACGUAAGAAGAAGGAUAUCGAUCUGAUCAACGACAAUGACGACGCGAUUGCCCGUUUGAUCGCGGACAUGAGACUCGCCGCCAGGGAAGACAAUGAGUUAAAUAUUGCAAGACAGCCAGCUAUAAGAAAGAUUGCUAUGCUGAGGCCGGUGAUGUCCCAGCUGAAGAAGGUCGACCUCCAGAUGGCCUUUGUGGAGGCCAAUGUACUGUCCGUCAUGACAGACUGGUUGGCCCCCAUGCCAGAUAAAUCUCUUCCUAGCCUGGAGAUUAGAAAGGAGUUGUUGAGACUUCUACAGAACCUUAGAAUUGAUGAUCAAUCUAGACUAAAGGAGUCGGGGAUAGGAAAGGCUGUAAUGUAUCUGUACAAGCAUCCUAAAGAGAUCAAGGAAAACAAAGUGAUCGCUGGCAAAAUAAUAAAUAACUGGGCUAGACCUAUCUUCAACAAAUCUAUGGAUUACAAGGAUUAUGACAAAGAAACGAGAGCAGAGCGGGAUCAGGAAAUUCUGUCUGCAAAGAGACGAAGAGUGGAGGAGCCUGAACCGGAGGAGGGACUUCGACCAGGAGAUCCAGGUUGGAUUGGUAGAGCCAGGGUUCCUAUGCCAAGCAGCAAGGACUACGUGGCUAGACCGGAGUGGGCUACAGACGUCGAACUAAGUAAACCUAAGAAGAAGGAGGUAACUUUGAUCGAAAAACAUUUCCGUGCCGCAGCUGAGCGUAAGAAACUGUCCAAACCUCGGCGCGCGGUUGAGAUGUCUAUGGAGGGAAGGAAGAUGGCGCUGUAAACACUUAGAUCAUAUGAUAACCGGCUCAACUAAAGGGACUCUAGACUCAAUUUCAAGUGUACCCUCCAUCCAUUCAUUUCCAAUUCACAACCGGUACUAUUGUGAAUCGGACAUGACGCUUUAUGAAUGUAUGGUGACGUUAAAUUGCGUCUGAAGUCCCAUAAAGAAGGAAUAUUUUAUUUAUAUUAGUUUUGGAAUUCACAGAAACUUUUACUUAAAACUAGUAUUUUUUAAACAUAAUUAUCAAAAUGAAUAUUUAUUUGUUCUUUAAAAAUUUAAAAUCUUGAAGAAUAAUACUCCGUGUUUUUUUUGAUCAAGUUGAUUGUGAAAACGUACAUUAAACUAUAGGUUUUUGGAUUUGUAUAUUUAUUCGUCUCUGAUUUUUCUUAUUUUCCUUUUUACCCUCAAGGUUUUUUUUUCAAUCUCAAGUUUGUUUGAAAACAUAUAUUAAAAUACUUGCAGCACACCUUAUUUAAUUUAGCAAAAAGGGUAAUUUUGUUUGCUUGGUUUCAGUUCUGUAAAUCUUUAAUUAUCUUGUUUUGAUUUCGCUAAAAUAUUAUUUUAAAGAUGA
rnacentral:misc_RNA from 1 species